UUGAGGUCUAGCAGGCUCAUCUUGGACACCUCAUUGUAUUCCUCCCUCCUCGUCUUCUAAGGGAUUUGUCUGGUCUGAGCCAUCAGUGGAGCUUGGUCAAGGUUAGUUACAGACUCCAACCUCAACCUUCCUAUUCACUCGUAGAGUCCCUUCUAUCAAGUUGGAAGAAGAGACCUCACAGAGAACUAACAGAACAAUAACUCAAUAGAGCCAGUUUUACUAAGUCCAGCAUUGGUCCCAGGAAUGCUGGUCAACGUUAUAAAGUCCCAAUUUUACUAAACACUGUUUUUGCCUCCUGUCAAUCUGACGACUUGAAUUUUUUUAAAUAUUAUGAUUCUCUUUUUUAAUGAGUCAAGAGUAAAGCUCAAGCUACCCAAUCAACUAAUUAAAAUUUAUCCUCCCUAUCACCACUACAUACACAUAUAGUGGCACUAUUUAUACAACUUCCAUCCUUUAUUUUUUUUCAUGACACCACCAUCUGCUACACGGUACUCAUAAUUACAUGUUUUACUAAUGUAUUCCUUUAUUAUCUGUCUCUCCCCACUAAAAUAUAAGCUCCAAGAGGGCAGAAACUUUUCUCUAUUUUGUUCACUGCUAUAUCUUCAGCUGCUUAGAAAAGUGGCUGGUGCAUUAUAGGUACACACAAUAAAUAUUUAUUGAAUACAGACAUUGUUCAGCAACUCAGUAGUAAGGAGGAAGAAGAGGGAAAGCUCAGUUGUCUACCCUGUGUGUAGCAUAAUUCAUUUUCAUAUGGCAUAUUUCAUCUGUUUAUUUGCCCAUCCACAGAAUGUGAUGGAUAGAGAUUAGUAUCAACUGAAAAAAAGGUGGAAAAAUUUUCUGGAACAAAAUGAGAUUUGGAAGCUAUGAUUCAAGUUACUAUGGUAAAAGACGUGAGAGAAAAACAGCAUGAUUACUGUAAGUCAGGCAUUGGGCUAAAUGCCUUACAUAUGUUGUCACUGAAUCCACCAAAUGACCCUGUAAAAAUGGUAUUGUUACUACCUUCUCAUAGAUGAAGAAAAUGAAAGGCCCAGGCGCGGUGGCUCAGGCCUGUAAUCCCAGCACUUUGGGAGGCUGAGGAGGGUGGAUCACCUGAGGUCAGGAGUUUGAGACCAGCCUGGACAAUGUGGUGAAACCCUGUCUCUACUAAACAUACAAAAAUUAGCCGGGCAUGGUGGUGUGCGCCCGUAGUUCCAGCUACUCAGGAGGCUGAGGCAGAAGAAUCGCUUGUACCCAGGAGGUGGAGGUUACAGUGAGCCAAGAUAGUGCCACUGGACUCCAGCCUGGGUGGCAGAGCGAGACUCCAUCUCAAAAAAAAAGCGGGGGUGGUGAGAGCAUAAAUGAAGUUUACCUCAAUCAAGCUGCUUCUUCUCGCAAGGUCAUACUAUUAUUUACUAAGUAGCCAAGCCAAGUGUUGAACACUGGUUAGUCUUUUCCCUGAGCCAGAUAUCUCAGCCCACAGUUAAUGUUUUAGGCAACAAGAGAAAUGAGGACCCUCCAGCAUUGUAUGAAAAGAACCAUAUUUAUGUUGCAACUACCAUGAUGCCAAAGCUCACUGAUGACUGAAAGUGGGUGUCAAGGAAUGAGGUCACAGCAAUGGAAAUCCCUCCAGUUGGUUUCACUAAUAAUUUUUAUUUUAUAAAAAUGUAUUCUGAAAUUUAUUCACCUACUUUUUAUUUUAAUAUGACAUUAAUUCUUCACUCCUACCCAAUGCUGGCCCAUCUGUGGCCAUAAACUAGAACUGAUUUUCCCAUAGUUGUGGUUAUCAGAAUCCCUAGAUGGUGAGAUUGUUCUAAUUGGGAUAUCAAAGUGGAAUAUUCCAUAAAAUAAUAGUAUUCUAGGAUAUAAAUAUAAAAUGGCAUAUAAAAAUAAGUAUUGUAGAUCAAGAUUCAGGACAUGUAAACACUCUUUAAAGUGGGUCAGCAAAACAUAGGGCUGGUAAUUCUAGCACUGCUAAUUUAUUCCACAAUCUGGAGGGCUCUGAACUCAAGAGGUUAGAAUGCUAUCAAGAGUCCAUGCCAUUCCUUGAGGAGCUGCUAUUUAUUAAGUGUGGUCCUAAUAACCAGCCAUUAACUUCAGCAAAGAUGAGAUAGUCAAGUAGUCACAGACACAUGCAAAGAGGCCAGAAUACUGGCUAAACCGAGAAGCUGUUUUGGCAGCCAUGGUGGAUGCAUUUUUUUCCCAAACAAUGUAUCAAGAGAAUUAGGAUAAGAUGAUUAUGACUUGGAGUUCUCAGACAUGCCACUCCUGUUAACAAAUUGUUAUAUUAGUACAUCACAAAAAUAAUAUGCCAAAAGUCCUGAGAGAGAAAAAAAAUAAUGAUUGCAAAGACAGAAUGGCAUGGCAGAAUAUAUGAUAAUUAUUCUACAAAGUAUAAAAUUCUCUUUCCAUUUGUGCCCCUCUAUGACACACAAUGUCCCAGAUAAGAAC
rnacentral:lncRNA from 10 species